rnacentral:sRNA from 1 species
CUUUUCUGGCUACCGAAGUGGAGAUGCAGGGGGAGAUGAUCAAUCGGAUUGAGAAGAACAUCCUGAGCUCAGCGGACUACGUGGAACGUGGGCAGGAGCACGUCAAGACGGCCCUGGAGAACCAGAAGAAGGCGAGGAAGGUGAGCCUCCCAGGCCCGGCCACUGCCCCAGGCACCCUGUGUGACUUCCCUGACCCCCUCCUCUCCCACAGAAGAAAGUCUUGAUUGCCAUCUGUGUGUCCAUCACCGUCGUCCUCCUAGCAGUCAUCAUUGGCGUCACGGUGGUUGGAUAAUGUCGCACAUUGUUGGCACUAGGAGCACCAGGGACCCAGGGCCUGGCCUUCUCUCCCAGCAGCCUGGGGGGCAGGGCAGAGCCUCCAGUCGGACCCCUUCCUCACACUGGCCCCUAUGCAGAAGGGCAGACAGUUCUUCUGGGGUUGGCAGCUGCUAAUUCAUGGUGGCCGCCUCCUUCAGGCCUCAAUGCCUGGGGGAGGCCUGCACUGUCCUGAUUGGCCGGGACACACGGUUUUGUAAAAAAUUAAAAAACAAAAAAAGAGCAUAGAAA